rnacentral:lncRNA from 1 species
AAUUGUAUUCUAUUGAGAUACCUUGGAGUAUGGGUAUUUGCAGGUUAUUAAGUACUCUUUUACUAAAACAAAAAUUUGAAAAGAGAGUAUUGAUAAAAUGAUCUUCUUGAUGUACAUUAUGUGCAAACUCAUAUAAUCAUCUAAAAAUGGAGGCUGUUUGUGUAAGUAGCUGUAAUAGGCUUAAAGUCUUCACAAUUUUAGGAUGAUCACUCUCUUUAAAUGAUGAAGGAGAAGCUAAAUAUAUCUGAUCUCAUUGAACCCAUUUUCCUCUACCUAAUUUGGCAAGUAUGUGUCAUUUCAGUGUAAAAUGACCCUUUUGACCUGCACUUGAACUUGAGACUUAUUUUUGGGGUAAAAUGGUCAAUUUAUAUAAAACUUAUUUUAAGGAUUGUUGUGCCGACUAGCAUGUUCUGGCACGGGCACCUCAUCCACUCAGGUCGAUAACCUCGUGCUACCCGUGCUGAUUGUGCCGACAUAUAGAUUGGAUGUGCUGAGGGGUGCCAGCAUGCCGUGCUAUGUGGAUGGCACACUGACAGGUUCCAUGCUAGUGGCACAUCAAUCCUUGUUAAUAUUUUAUUCUUUUGGUCAAUGUUUGGAAUUGAGAAAGCUCACGGAUUAUAGUGCUUAAGUGAAAAGUUCAGAGAAGAAGUCACAAUAUCAGCAUACUACAGGGAAUGUCUAUGGGUUAUACUCUUUCCUUAUCAUACAGUUUAUGAUGUGGAAAGAUAUUACUUAAGCGUCAUGCUUAAUUUGUGUCAUCUUGUAUUUGACUAAUGGAUAGGAACGGCAGGUACCGAUGAUAUGAGUGAGAGAGGAGUGAUGUCUCGGCUGCUGUGCCCUAAGUUUGGUGGAUAUCUUACCUUCGGCACGCUUACUGCGGGAAAGGAAUCAGCUCNUUGGUUAUGAGUGAGAGAGGAGUGAUGUCUCGGCUGCUGUGCCCUAAGUUUGGUGGAUAUCUUACCUUCGGCACGCUUACUGCGGGAAAGGAAUCAGCUCCUGGCCAACCAACUAUCACAGAUAUGUUGGACAUUUACAAUAUCAGACAGAUAAGAGCAGAUACGAAAGUUUUUGGUUUAAUUGCAAAGCCAGUGAAGCAGAGUAAAAGCCCUA